ensembl:lncRNA
UAUAUAUAUAUAUAUAUAUAUAUAUGUAUAUUGUGAUAACAUUGCAUAGUCGACUACUAUGUGUGACACAGCAGGAAUUUAAAUUAUAUCAGUACAGAAUCAUAUUAACAGAACACAACUAUGCUUACAUAUUUGGCGAAAGUUACUAUAAUGAAUCAGUUGACAUCCUGAGUUGAUAAUAUGGUGCAUUUGCACUGACAUAGUGACAUAUAGCAGUGUUAUGCCCGGUAAUACAUUCAUGAUACUAUACAUCAUUUGAUUUUGGUAUAAAAUCACUGAAAUGAAAAAUCAUGCAGAUAUCGGCUUCCUGCAUUAUUUGAAUACUGACUUGUACAUCCAAAAUCAUGCAGGGGUCAAAUGUAGUGGCUUGGGGUACUAUAAAUUAUUGUUAAGUUUAGGAUUUUAACCCAAUUUUUUUUUUUUUUUUUUUUUUUUUUUUUUACAAUUUAGGUCAAGUCCACACAGUAAAUUUUAAAUUUGAAAGCACAAAUCUUUUCUCAUCUGCUUUGCUUUCCCAUCAGCAAUAAAACAGCAUUUUUAGCAACCAAAGUGCAUCUUUUUGUGACUGCUCUCCAAAAGGGAAUAUGUCUGAAAAUGAAGGUUUUUUGUGUUGUAGUGUAUAUGAGGGAAAAACUAACCUUUCAAAAAUGCUGACAAAUAAUGGUCAUAUGACCUCCACAAUUAAAAGAUGGCAGAACUUCGACUGGCAUCAAUCAUUUAUGGAAAUGAGAAUUGUUCAAUACUUGCUCGCCAAAGGUGAUGCUUAAGGUGUCACUUUUUGAAUCUUCUUCACUGUAAUCUUAAUGUUUCCAUUAACCUUAGCCUGGAUGAGUCUGGAAAACUGCAAUAAACAGAAAUAAAGUAAAAUAUUUACAGUGCUGUGAAAAACGACUUGCUGAUUUCUUCUGUUUUUGUGUAUAUCUCAUACUAAAUAGUUUUAGAUCUUCAAAUGAAAUACAACGUAAAACAAAGGCAUUUUUAAUUUAUUUAUAAACAUUUUUAUAAAAAAGUAAUCCAAUACCCAUCACCUAUGUGAAAAACUAUUUGCCCCCUUAAACCUAAAAUCUGGUUGUGCCACCUUUAACAGCAAUAACUGAAACCAAAUGCUUCCGAUAACUGGAGAUCAGUUUUUCACUUACUUCUAGGACUAGGACUUACUCCUAUGCUUUGGAUCAUUGUCUUGCUGCAUAAUCCAGUUGAGCCUGAGUUUCAAUUUACGGACUGAACACCGGACAUUCUCCUUUAGGAUUUUCUGGUAGAGAGCAGAAUUCAUGUUUCCCUCAAUUACUGUAAGUUGCCCAGGCCCGGAAGCAGCAAAGCAUCCCAACCACCAUGCUUGACCAUAGAUACGAUGUUCUUUUUGUUGAAUUGGUUUAUGCCAGAUGUAAUGAGACCCCUGUUUUCCAAACAGUUCCACUUUCGACUCAUCAAUCCACAGAACAGUCUCACAAAAUGUUCAUCAAGGUGUGUUUUGGCAAAAUUCAGAUGAGCCUUAAUGUUCUUCUGGGUUAGCAGUGGUUUUCACCUCGCCAAUCUUCCAUGGAUGCCAUUUUGCCCAGUGUAUUUCUGAUAGUGGAGUCAUGAACAGUGACCUUUAUUGAUGCAAGAGAGGCCUGUAGGUCCUUUGAUGUUGUCCUUGGCUCUUUUGUGAUUGUAUUCUUGGAGGGCUUUGGAACGACAGCCACUUCUGUGAAGGUUCACUACUGUAAGUUUUUUUUCCCAUUUGGAGUUAAUGACUCUCACUGUGGUCCUGUGGAGUCCCAGAGCCUUUGAAAUAUCUUUGCAACCCUUCCAAGACUGAUGUAUUUCAAUCAACUUCUUCCUCAUAAUUUCUGGAAUUUCUUUCAAUUUUGCCAUAGUAUAUUACUGGGUAAGACCUUUUAAUCAACUUCAUGCUGUUCAAAAAGUUCUAUUUAAGUGUUGAUUUGAUUGAACAGUGUUUUCAGUAAUGAAGCCUGGUUGCGUCUAGUCCAGCUGAACCCCAUUAUGAAUGCAGUUUCAUAGAUUUGGGGAAUUAGUAACUACGGGGGCAAAUACAUUUUGACGCCGGCCCAGGCUGCCAUGAUGGAUACGGACUCUAUAGGAACCUUUAUUAAAACUGGCUAAAAAGAGCAAAUGAAUUAAUUAAACAGAAACUUUUUGAGUGUUAGUAAGAAUAAAAAUGAGCUCAGCGUCAAGCUGUACUGUCGCUGGCUGCCUCACCAACAGCAACAAACUUUUGAGUUUUGUGAUAAUUUGCAAAUUGCUGUGGUAUAAGAGGAAAACACUUUUUCAUGGCUUUUUUCCCCUACAACAGGACAGACACCCCAUAAUGUUUUACUCAUUUAUCUAUAUUCCAAAUGAUACACACAAAUCUAAUGGGUAUAGUAAACAUAUAUUUGGAGUAUAGCAUGAAGCAUGCCCUUACCUCCUCUAUAUAGAUAAUGAUUUUGUCAUUGCUUAGUUCAGUGACAGAUAGCAUCCUAACCACUGCUUGAGCAAAUGCUGUAGAGUCUGGAGAAAUCAAAACAGAUAAACAGAAUAGUUAUUUUUAAUAAUAAGACAAAUCACACAACUAAAAACAAUCUUUUUUGGUUUGAAAUGUAAACAAUAUCAAGGGUUAAUAUAAGAAAAACAGUACUUGUUGAUGGUGGAGCUGUUGGUGGUUGAAUUGUUCGUGGAGAGGUGGUUUUGUUGGUGGUUGUUGGAGGGGUUAUAGUUGUUUCUGGAACUGUGCUUUUGCUGGUUGUUGUUGAAGGAGUUGUAAGUGUUUUUAGAAAGGUGGUUAUGUUUGUUGGAGUAGUUGUGGUGGUAGUUAUAUUUAGAGAAGUUGUUGUAGAGGUGGUUGCUAGAGAUAUGGUUGUGCCGGUUGCUUCUAUAGUUUUUAGACUGGCAUUUAUUAGGUUUAUGGGUGUUGUUAGACUAGUCGUUGUGGUGGUGGUUGCUAUAUUUGGUGGAGUUAUGGGUGUUGUUCGAGAGGUAGCUGUUGUUGGAGAGAUGGUUGUGAUAUAUGUAGGUGUUGUCAGUCCAGCGGUUGUGAUGAUAGUUGUUGUAUUUGGAUUACUUGUUGGUGUUGUUGCAGAAGUGGUUGUUGCAGAAAUGAUUGUGCUGAUUGUUGUAUAAGGAGUUGUUGUUUUUGGAGAGGUGGUUAUGAUGUUUAUUGGCAUUGUUGGACUAGUGGUUGUGGGAGACAUUACUGUACCUGGAGGAGUUAUUGGUGUUGUAGAAAUGGUUGCUGGAGAAACAGUUGUACUGGUUGUUAUUGAAGGACUUGUUUUUGGAGAGGUGGAUAUGAUGUGUAUGGGCAUUAUUGGAUUAGUGUAUGUGAUGGUGGUUGUUCUUUUUAUUCUUGUGGGAAUUGUGGGUGUUGUUGCAGAGAAGGUUAGAGAAAUGGUUUUGCUGGUUGUUGUUGGAGUUGCCAUUGCUGGACUAGUGGUUGUGGUGGUUUCUGUGUUCGGAGGAGUUAUGGGUGUUGUUGGAGAGAUGUUUGUGAUAGUCAUAGUUUUUGGACCAGUGGUUGUGAUGGUGGCUGUGGUAUUUGGAUUUGUUGUUGGUGUUGUUGGAAAGGUGGUUGUAGAAGAAAUGGAUGUGCUAGUUGUUGCUGUAGAAGAGGUUGAAGUUGUUUUUGGAGAUGCAGUUAUUAGGUUUAGGGGCAUUGUUGGACUAGUGGUUGUGGUGGGGUUUGCUGUAUUUGUAAGAGUUGUGGGUGUUGUUGGAGAGGUAGCUGUUGUUGGAGAGAUGGAUGUGAUAGUUGUAGUUGUUCUCAGACCAUUGAUUAUGGUGGCCAUUAUUGUUGGAGAUGUGGCUGUUGUUGCUGGAGCUACAGAUGUUGAGUGUGGAGCUGUAGAUGCUACAAAAACAGAAGGUGUUGUGGUGGUACUUGAGGGAAAUGUGGUUGUGUUUUUUUUUUUAGUGGUAGUUGCUGGAACUGUGGAGGUUAGUGUGUUAUUUGUUUUGGUUAUUGGUAUUGUAAGUGCUGUUGUGAUUGGAUGGGUGGUUAUUGUGGUUGAUUUGGUAUUUUUACUAGUUGUUGUUCUUGGAGGGGUGGUUGUUAGUGUAAUUACUGAUGGAAUAGAAGUUGUUGGUGAAAAAAUGGUUGUUGAAGAUGUGGUUGGAGUAAAUUGAGCUAUACUUGUUGAUAGAAAGGAGGGAGUUGAAGAUAUGGAUAUUACAGCUAUAGUUGGAGCUGGAGAUGGUGAAUCUGUAGCAGGUGAAAUUUUAACUGUUGAUUGUAGUAAUGCAAAUGUUGAGGGCAGAUCUGAUAAAGUUGGAGGUGAUAUUUCAGUGGUAGAUGGUGUUUGUGAAGCAGGUGAAAGUACAGAUGGAAAUAAUGGACUUGAAAAUGUUACACUUGAUUCUUGUGUUGCAUAUGAUGAAGAGAAAGCUCUCGGUGUUGACUGAUAGUCUACAGUGGUUUUCACUUUUAUUGCUGAAGAUGUCAAGGUCAAAUCUGUAGAAGAUUCUGGAACGAUAGAUGCUAUAACCGAUGGUGCUGAUAAAUUUCCGGGAGAUUUAGGUGUUGAUGACUGAUCUGUAGAAGAUUCUGGGGAAGUAUAAAGGGAUGCUGUAACUGAUGGUGUUGCUGAAGUUUCUAGAGAUUCCGUUGUUGGUGAGUGAUAUGUUGAUGAUUCCGGGGAAGUAUAUGGAAAUUCUGUAAUUGUUUGUGUUGACGUUUCUGGGGAUUCAGAUGUUGAGUGAUCUGGAGAUGAUUCUGGUGAAACAACAUGUGAUACUGUAGCCAAUGGUGUUGAUAAACAUUCUAGAUAUUCAGAUGUUGAUGACUGAUCUGUAUAGGAUUCUGUUGAAGUAGAUGGUGACAUUGUAACUGCUUGUGUUGCUGAAGUUACUGGAGAUUCAGUGGUUGGUGAGUGAUCUGUAGAUAAUUCUGAGAAAGUAGAUGGUGAUCCACUAACUGCUUGUGUUCCUGAAGUUUCUGGAGAUUUAGAUGUUGACUGAUCUGUAGAUAAUUCUGCAAAAGUAAAAGCUGAUGGUGCAAACAAUGGUGUGAAUAAAGUUCCUGGAGAUUCAGAUGUCAAUAAAUUGUCUGUAAAUUCAGAUGUGGAUGACUGAUCUGUAGAUGAUUCUGGUGAAGUAAGUGGUGACAUUGUAACUGCUUGUGUUGCUGAAGUUUCUGGAUAUUCAGGAGUUGAUGAGUGAUACGUUGAAUGUAAAGAGGUAUAUGGAGAUGCUGAAAUCACUUGUGUUGAUGUUUCUGAAGAUUCAGAUGUUGAGUGAUCUGUAGAUGAUUCUGGUGAAGUUGAUGGUGAUGCUGUAACUGCUUGAGUCGCUGAAGUUUCUGGAUAUUCAAGUGUUGAUAAGUGAUCUAUAGAUAAUUCAGAGAAAGUAAAUGGUGUUGCACCAACUCUUGUGCUGCCGACGUUUCUGGAGAUUUAGAUGUUGUUGACUGAUCUGUAGUGGAUUCUGGUGAUGUACAUGGUGCUGCUGUCCCUGCUUGUGUCGCUGAAGUUUCUGGAGAUUCAACUGUUGAUAAGUGAUCUGUAGAUAAUUCUGAAAAAGUAGAUGGCGACAUUGUAACUGAUGGUGUUGCUGAAGUUUCUGCAGAUUCAUUUGUUGAUGAGUGAUCUGUAGAUAAUUCUGAGAAAGUAGAUGGUGAUGCAGUAACUGUUUCUUCUGCUGAAGUUUCUGGAGACUCAGAUGUUGAGUGAUCUGUAGAUGAUUCACAGAAAGUAAAUGGUGUUACACCAACUCUUUUUUGUGCUGGGGUGCCGAAGUUUCUGGAGAUUUAGAUGUUGUUGACUGAUCUGUAGUGGAUUCUGGUGAAUGUACAUGGUGCUGCUGUCCCUGCUUGUGUUGCUGAUGUUUCUGGAGAUUCA